AGAGUAUGAUACUGGCUCAGAACGAACGCUGGCAGCGUGCCUCAUACAUGCAAGUCGAGCGAGAAAGCGUCCUUCGGGAUGCGAGUAAAGCGGCGAAAGGGUGAGUAACGCAUGGGUAAUCUGCCUUCCGGAGCGGGAUAAGGGCGUCCGCAAGGACCUUUGGCGAAAGUGCCGCUAAUACCGCAUAACGAUGCUGUGCGACUUUUCUUAUUCGUAAGCGAAGUCCGCGCGGUGUUCAAAGGGGCUUAAGGCUUGUCCUUUUGCCUCGCCGGGAGAGGAGCCUGUGUCCUAUUAGCUUGUUGGUGAGGUAACGGCUCACCAAGGCGACGAUGGGUAGCCGGCGUGAGAGCGUGAUCGGCCACACUGGGACUGAGACACUGCCCAGAGCCCUACGGGGCGCUGCAGUAGGGAAUUUUCCGCAAUGGGCGAAAGCCUGACGGAGCGACGCUGCGUGGAGGAAGAAGGCCUUCGGGUUGUAAACUCCUGUCGGGGGCUAAGAACGUCGUCGGGAGAAAUCUCGACGGUUGACAAAGACCCCAGUAGGAAGUCAUGGCUAACUCCGUGCCAGCAGCCGCGGUAAUACGGAGAUGGCAAGCGUUGUUCGGAAUUACUGGGCGUAAAGGGCGCGUAGGCGGCUGCAUAAGUCGGACGUGGAAUCCUUCGGCUCAACCGGAGAAUUGCAUUCGAUACUAUGCGGCUAGAGGACGGCAGGGGAGAGUGGAACUCCUGGUGGAGCGGUGAAAUGCGUAGAUAUCAGGGGGAACGCCGACGGCGAAAGCAACUCUCUGGGCCGUUUCUGACGCUGAGUGUGCGAAAGCCAGGGUAGCAAACGGGAUUAGAUACCCCGGUAGUCCUGGCCCUAAACGAUGGGCACUUGGUAGUGGGGAGAAAUCCUCUCUGCCGGAGCUAACGCGUUAAGUGCCCCGCCUGGGUAGUACGGUCGCAAGGCUGAAACUCAAAGUAAUUGACGGGGGCUCGCACAAGCGGUGGAGCACGUGCCUCAAUUCGAUUCAACGCGAGGAACCUUACCAGGGUUUGACAUGCAGGUGGUACGGACCCGAAAGGGCGAGGACCCUGGGUCAGCCAGGGGGCCUGCACAGGUGCUGCAUGGCUGUCGUCAGUUCGUGUCGUGAGAUGUUGGGUUAAGUCCCGUAACGAGCGAAACCCCUGUCCUUAGUUGCUAACGGGUAAUGCCGAGGACUCUAAGGAGACUGCCGGUGUUAAACCGGAGGAAGGUGGGGAUGACGUCAAGUCCUCAUGGCCCUUAUGCCCUGGGCGGGACACAUGCUACAAUGGCCGGUACAAAGGGAAGCCAAGCCGCAAGGCGGAGCGAAGCUCUAAAAGCCGGUCCCAGUUCGGAUCGGGGGCUGCAAUUCGCCCCCGUGAAGCAGGAAUCGCUAGUAACCGCGGAUCAGCCACGCCGCGGUGAAUAUGUGCCCGAGCCUUGUACACACCGCCCGUCAAGCCACGGGAGCCGGGAGCACGUUAAGUCAGCGGCCCAACCUUCCCCUCGGGGAUGGAGGGAACUGCCCACCGUGAGUUCGGCGACUGGGACUAAGUCGUAACAAGGUA
rnacentral:rRNA from 1 species